UACGGAGGGGGCUAGCGUUGUUCGGAAUUACUGGGCGUAAAGCGCGCGUAGGCGGACUGGAAAGUUGGGGGUGAAAUCCCGGGGCUCAACCUCGGAACUGCCUUCAAAACUAUCAGUCUGGAGUUCGAGAGAGGUGAGUGGAAUUCCGAGUGUAGAGGUGAAAUUCGUAGAUAUUCGGAGGAACACCAGUGGCGAAGGCGGCUCACUGGCUCGAUACUGACGCUGAGGUGCGAAAGCGUGGGGAGCAAACAGG
rnacentral:rRNA from 1 species